rnacentral:rRNA from 1 species
UACGUAGGGGGCAAGCGUUGUCCGGAUUUAUUGGGCGUAAAGGGCUCGUAGGUGGCCAACUAAGUCAGACGUGAAAUCCCUCGGCUUAACCGGGGAACUGCGUCUGAUACUGGAUGGCUUGAGUUUGGGAGAGGGAUGCGGAAUUCCAGGUGUAGCGGUAAAAUGCGUAGAUAUCUGGAGGAACACCGGUGGCGAAGGCGGCAUCCUGGACCAACACUGACACUGAGGAGCGAAAGCCAGGGGAGCAAACGGG